rnacentral:rRNA from 1 species
CCCUUAGAGUUUGAUCCUGGCUCAGGAUGAACGCUAGCUACAGGCUUAACACAUGCAAGUCGAGGGGCAGCAUGGUCUUAGCUUGCUAAGGCUGAUGGCGACCGGCGCACGGGUGAGUAACACGUAUCCAACCUGCCGUCUACUCUUGGCCAGCCUUCUGAAAGGAAGAUUAAUCCAGGAUGGGAUCAUGAGUUCACAUGUCCGCAUGAUUAAAGGUAUUUUCCGGUAGACGAUGGGGAUGCGUUCCAUUAGAUAGUAGGCGGGGUAACGGCCCACCUAGUCAACGAUGGAUAGGGGUUCUGAGAGGAAGGUCCCCCACAUUGGAACUGAGACACGGUCCAAACUCCUACGGGAGGCAGCAGUGAGGAAUAUUGGUCAAUGGGCGAUGGCCUGAACCAGCCAAGUAGCGUGAAGGAUGACUGCCCUAUGGGUAAUAAACUUCUUUUAUAAAGGAAUAAAGUCGGGUAUGCAUACCCGUUGC